rnacentral:rRNA from 1 species
AGCGCAGGCGGGAAGACAAGUUGGAAGUGAAAACCAUGGGCUCAAACCCCAUGAAUUGCUUUCAAAACUGUUUUUCUUGAGUAGUGCAGAGGUAGAUGGAAUUCCCGGUGUAGCGGUGGAAUGCGUAGAUAUCGGGAGGAACACCAGUGGCGAAGGCGGUCUACUGGGCACCAACUGACGCUGAGGCUCGAAAGCAUGGGUAAGCAAACA